rnacentral:lncRNA from 1 species
GUUAUAGUCCCGAGGUCGAUUUGGCCCUUUAUCCUGUCUGAGUCGAUAAAAUAAGUACCUGUUAGGCACUGGGGUCCAUGUAAUCGACUUACCACUGCCCCAAAAUUACUGGCUUUGUACCAAAAUUUGAUAGCAUUAUUAUUUCUAUAGUUGUUCGAUUUUGUCUUUCAUCCUUUCGGUGUCGAUAAAUUAAGUACCAGUUGCGUACUGGGGUCGAUCUUAUCGACAGCCCCCACCCCCACCCCCACCCCCUUCCUCAGAAAUUUCGGGCCUUGUGCUUAGAGUAGAAAAGAUUAUUAUUUCUGUAGUCACAGUGACUGUCAUACACUUAGCUCAUUUGUCUGGUAUGCAAGAGAGCCGUGGUUCGUUUCCCAUGACUGACUUAAGCUAUUAUUUCAAAAUGCAAAGGCGUGACGGAUAUGAAAGCACAAUUUUUUUUUUUUUUUUGACAUAUGUCCCAUUUAAUUUCAGAAUUCAUGUCCUGCUAGGGUUAUCUUAUGUUUUUUUUUUUUUUUAUUUUUACUUGUUUCAGUCAUUGGACUGCGGCCAUGCUGGGGCACUGACUUGAAGGUUUUUAGUCGAACAAAUCGACCCCAGUACUAGUAUAUUUUUGUUUAAAGUAUGGUACUUAUUCUAUCUACACAGUUUAUCGAACCGCUGGAUUACUAGGAUGUAAACAAACCCCCACCACCGGUUGGCAAUACAUGGGUCGAGACAGACAAAAGCAUAAAGACACACACACACAUACACAUAUAAACACACACAUGUAUACACAUAUACACAUGUAUAUACACACACACAUAUAUAUAUACGUAUAUAUAUAUAUAAAUACAUACAUGCAUACAUACAUACAUGCAUGCAUACAUACAUACAUACACACAUGUCCAAUAAAUCCACUCACAAGGCUUUGUUCGGCCCGGGACUAUAGAAGACAUUUGCCGAAGGUGCCCGUGGGGAUGAACCCGAAACUAUGUGGUUAAGACGCAAACUUCUUACCAUACAGCUAUGCCUGCGCCCAGCUGAUUUUACCUUUUAUAUUUCUUUACACUUAAUCACAUAAAUACCAGUCAUACACUGAGGUACAUUCAACUAAUAUCAUUUUAUCAUCUCACUCUUGCCUCUGUCUCUACAAGGUGAAUUUAGCCGAGUCGUUAGAGGCGUCGGGUGAAUAUUCAUUCCGGCUCGCUGCGCUUUACGUUCAAAUCCCGUUGAGAUCAGCUUUGGUUUUAAUCGUUUCGGAGCACCAGACCAACGUUGUGAACUAAGCUCUGUCCUCAGAGCGACAGAUGUAUAUAUAUAUGUGUAUGUGUCUGUACGGGUGUAUAAACAUACAUGUGUGUAUAUAUGUAUGCAUAUGCAUACACACAUAUGUAUAAAUAUGUGUGUGUCUGUACGGGUGUAUAAACAUAUAUGUGUGUGCAUAUAGGUAUGUAUAUACAUACAUCUUAUAUGUAUAAAUAUGUGUGUGUAUGUAUUAAUAUGCAUACAUAUGUGUGUGUGUAUGUAUGUAUAAUUAUGUACAUAUUUGUACAAUAUGUAUGUGUGCAUAUAUAUAUAUAUAUAUGUGUGUGUGUGUGUGUGUGUAUGUGUAGUAUAUUUAUAAUAUAUCUAUCUAUAUAAAUAUAUAUUGGUUGUUAUAUAUAUAUACAUACAUACAUAUGCAUACAUACAUACAUACAUAUAUAUGUAUAUAUAUAUGUAUAUAUAUAUAUAUAUAUAUAUAUAUAUAUAUAUAUAUAUAUAUAUAUAUAUAUAUGUAUAUAUAUAUAUAUGUAAAUAUAUAAAUAUAUAUAUAUAUAUAUAUUUUAUAUAUAUAUAUAUAUAUAUAUAUAUAUAUAUAUAUAUAUAUAUAUAUAUAUAUAUAUAUAUAUAUAUAUAUAUAUAUAUAUAUAUAUAUAUAUAUAUAUAUAACACAACCAAUUUUAAUAUAUAAAUCAAAAGAAAAGUAGAUCGUGUCGUUUCUUUUUUCGGCCAAAUCAAAAGAAAAUCUUUUCAACGAUUCAUGUUAUUUACUGUUGAUUACUCUUACUUCUUUAUUACAUUAAAAUUCAAUAAAAAUGUAUCGAUUUUUGAUUUUGGCAGCAGAAGAUUAUGAACGGCAUUUUUCAGGGACCGAUGGACGUCCAACUCAUUUUGCUAGCCUCAGUAGCUGAGACCACAGUUCCUAUUAGCUGAGCGUAAUACACAGAGGUCUGGGAAUUCCGUGGAGUUCAAAAUAAAAUAAAAAAAAGAAAGAAAAAUGAAAAAUAAAAGAAAUGCUUCUUAGUGGCUGCGUGGUAAGAAGCUUGCUUCCCAACCACAUGGUUCCGGGUUCAGGCCCAUUGCGUGGCACCUUGGGGCAAAUGUCUUCUACUAUAGCUUCAGGCCGACCAAAGCCUUGUCAGUGGAUUUCGUAAACGGAAACUGAAAGAAGUCCGUCUCGUGUGUAUAUAUAUAUAUACGUGUGUGGGUGUGACCCAUUACAGCUUGACAACUGGUGUUGAUGUAUUUAGGUCCUCGUAACUUAGCGGUUCGGCAACAAAGACUGACAGAAUAAGUACCUGAAUUAAAAAGAAAAUAAGUAGUGAGAUGAUUGAUUUAUUCGAUUAAAAUUCUUCAAAGCAGUGCCCCAACAUGACCGCAUGCAGCCUAAUGGUCUGAAACAAGUAAAAUAUAAAAGAUAUUGAAAAACUUGCAUUCGUUGGAAAGGAAGGUGAGUCCACGACAGAGAUCUUUUGCACCUUAAUAAUAAUAAUAAUAAUAAUAAUAAUAAUAAUAAUAAUAAUAAUAAUAAUAAUAAUAGUGAUAAUGGUAAUUCUUUACGAGGGCUCCUGUUUAACUUGUAGGUACUAUGUCAGCAACUGGAAAUCAAGAUUGAUGAUUUGAACCCAGAGAAUAAUGCAGCGAAGGACUGAGUGAUUAGGGAGCAAACUUCUUAUCACGCAGCGUCGUCCGCGCCCCAUAACUUAUUAUUAGCUUUAGUUAUUGUCAUUUGUGUCCAGUGGCGACUCGUGUUUAGGCACUGCGGAACCGCAGCACACCUUUCAUGGCUAUUCGAUCACUAACAGGCGGCCUCAGCAUUAAUGGUUAUCAAAUAAGGUGUUGUUACACCGUAGGGUAUCACAGACAACAGUUAAGGGUACCGCAAGGUUGUUUUAAUUUUAAAUAAUGAUACAAUGAAUAAAAAACAAUGCCAAUCGGGAUAGCACGAUCACGUAGUACUUAGCAAAAAAGAUGGCGGAAGGUGUAAGCCCUCACCACUAGUCCCAGAUAUGUAAAAGGCGCAAAAUAGUUUUUGAUUCUUCUUGCGUGUUGAUUAAGUCGGGGAGCUGAAAUUAUCGUUGGCCCUGAGCUCUGAGAAAUCAUUACAAUGCUACUGGUGUUGCAAAACUUAACCAGAAAAGGAAGAUAGAAUGAAGUGUUUAAAGAAAUACUGGAAACUAGUGCUUUACAUAACCGCUCGACCUGCUAGAAAUAACAAGCAAAAUCUCUCUUUUAACCAUUUUGAUGACCAAAUUUAUGUUGAAAUACACUGUCUUUGUUUCAAUUAAGUAUAUUUUAAAAAAAGACAAUAAUUAAUAAAAUAACUUUGUUGUUCUUGAACUGGUGUUUGCAACAUAAAUUGACGAGAAGCAUUGUUGGAAAAUAUUUGAUUUACAUCAUUAUAAAACAAAAAAGUUUGUAUCAUUGAACCAACGGCAUUUUCAGGUGAGAUGGUCACAACAGCUUUCUACUCUGCGGACAUACUGGAUAAGGUAGUCCUCGAGAUGGUUGUCCUUGAAGAAAUAAAAGACGAUAGACAAGAUGUGUCUCGUUCGAUUAGGGUUCAUAAAUAACAACAACAAAAACAAUUACUACUACUACUACUACUACUACUACUACCGCCACUACCACCACCACCGCUACUAUUCGUACAAACAGCCCGCGAUAAUCUGGUACCGGGUUUUAAAUAGAUUGUAGUAAGUAUUUAUAUUAUCUCCCACCUUGUUACAACGCGUGAUCGAAUCACACCGGGGUGAGGUAUAACCCCGGGCUAGCCUUAAUCAAGCAUAUAUAUAUUUCUUUUACUUUCUUUUAUCUGUUUCAGUCAUUUGAUUGAGCCAUGCUGGAGCACCGCCUUUAGUCGAGCAAAUCGACCCCAGAACUUAUUCUUUGUAAGCCUAGUACUUAUUCUAUCGGUCUUUCUUGCCGAACCGCUAAGUUACGGGGACGUAAACACACCAGUGAUGCUGGGAGAACAAGCACAGACACAAAUAUAUAUAUGGGCUUCUUUCAGUUUCCGUCUACCAAAUCCACUCGCAAGGCUUUGGUCGGCCCGAGGCUACAGUAGAAGACACUUGCCCAAGGUGCCACGCAGUGGGACUGAACCCGGAACCAUGUGGUUGGUAAGCAAGCUACUUACUACACAUCCACUCCUGCGCCUAUAUAUAUAUAUAUAUAUAUAUUAAAUAUGUGUGUAUAUAUGGGCGUGUAUGUUUGUAUAUAGAUAGAUAGAUAUAUAUAUAUAAAUGAAUGGGAAAGUAGACAUAUACACAUACAUAUGUAAGUAUGUUUCGGGAGAAUUUGGCUGGUUGCUGUAUGUAUCCAGUUAUUCAAGUGACUCUACAGUGUUUCCGUUGUUAGCUAUGUAAUCUACAGUGAACACAGCGAAGGUCAGUAAAGUUGACUCACUUUGUUGCUGCUGUUUCUAUUCUUAUUGUUGUUGUUAUUUAACUGUUUAUUUUCCAAGGUGGUAAUGGAGUAGAGCGGUAGUUCCAUUGCAAUCAAAGAAAUGGUGCAGCCGUAUCGGAUUUGUCCCAUUUGCAGUCACCCCUACGACCAUAUGUUAUACGUUAUACGUCAGCUACUUCAAGUUUCAUGCUCGGAUACUGUGCACGACUCGACAGUCAUUCAGGAUCAAAUAUUCAUUAAAUGACAUUAUUUCUUAUUGAAUUGAAUACAAUUGUUGCAGAUAAUAUCGUCGGGCGAACAGUACUUUACAUGUAUAUAUGACUAUACUCAUGUAUAUGUAUGUAUAUAUAAUAUAUGUGUGUGUGUGUGCAUGUAUAUAUGUAUGCAUAUGCAUGUAUAUGUAUAUCCGUGUAUAUGCAUAUGUUUAUAUUUGUGUGUACGCGUACAUAUAUGCAUAUAUUUGUAUGUGUGAAUGUGGGCCCCACUAAAUCGAAAAACUGAUUUGCAUAAAUAGUGCUUUUUGUUAGUAGCUGGGUUAAUUUAUAAAUCAACUUAUCUUUAAUUAAUUGAUUAAUUAUGCAUUAAAUAUCACGAGUUUGGGUAGGUAGUUGAAAUCUACGGGGAAAUAUAUAUCGUAUGUAGGUUAUUAUUAACUGUCACAACGGUAAGCAAUCAAAUUAGCACGUUAUUUUACAAAUUUUACAGAAUAUUAGACGUUAGUCAGCAGUGAUUUACUUGCAGUUUUCAGCAGUCACGGGACUCUGUUCACAUCCUCCAUCUUAAAAACGUCCUCCCUUUUAAAAACUGUCGGGAGCGAAUUAAGAGAGAGAGAGAGAGAGAGAGAUUUUGCAAUGGCAUUGAAAUGACUCAUUGGAGCUUUCUUUGCAUCUUUCUUCUGAAUCUAUAUGGAAAUAUUGAAAAAAUUAUUGUUGUUGCUUUUGUUGGUGUGAGCUUUAUUAUAAGGGAAGAUUUAGUUAUCAUAAUGGGAUUGUUUGGACAACUAACUACGUAACAUUCUUUGCUGACAAAACACAGCUGGUUUCGGUCAUUGGACUGCGACCGUACUGGAGAACCGUUUUGAAGGGUUCAGUUGAAUAAAUCAAGCCAAAGACGUUUUAUUUUUUCGUUUUACUUUUUUUUUAAAAUCUGGUACCUAGUGUACGAGUCACUUAUGCCGAACUGCUUAGUCACGGGGACGUAAAAUAACCAAUACCGGUUGUCAAGAAGUAAUUGAGACACAAACACAAAGACACACAACCACACACACACAUACACUCAGGCUUCUUUCAAUUUCCGUCUACUAAAUCCAUUUACAGGACAUUGAAAAAAAUACAAAACAACAAAGCAAAAAUCCUUGUACAGAACUGUGCUCUUCACAGUUCCAAUAACGCAGUGUUUUGCUGUUGUGCGCAUGCUCACAUACCCGAGAUAAGAAGCUUCACGCUAGGGAGAGAGAGCACUGCAUGAUCGACAGUGCAGGCAUCGGUGUUCUGGUGAAAGGUAGUGUCUCUUUUUGACUCCGCUUGUGUUGUGCUUAAAAACGGGUUUAUAAUCUUGAAUGUAAUAAAGUGUAGAAUUAGAUUAUUACCCUGCUUCCAGCUUCAGUGUGGUCGCCAGGAUUGGAAACAUAGGGCACAUUUCCCCGCCUUAUUGGGUGAUUUAGAGGGGAUUCUUGAAAAACAAGGGGGAAUUCGCGGCAGUGUCAGUGAACAAAUUAAACACACUACUCGGCAGUGGCUAAAACGCGAACCGAUCAAGUUUAUGUGUAAAUUUUCUUUUUAUAUGUUUGUUUCCUUUUACACAAAAUUAAAACAACGGCUAAACAUUUUCUGAAGUAACACCUCCACUAAUUUUAUCUAAGAGCCGCCACUGUUUUUGUCCAACAAGAAGAGUGUGACGUCAUUAACCAGUCGUGGCCAUUUCAAUUUACUUUGCAUUAGACACGUAUGCUUCUAGGUACAAACAUCAAGGGUGCGUGCUUAGUGGUUAGGGUAAAUGGGCUUACGAUCGUAAGAUCGUGCGUUCGAUUCCUGGCGGCGCGUUGCGUCCUUGAGCAAGACACUUUAUUUCCCGUUGCGCCACUCCACUCCGCUAGAAAAAACGAGUUGUAACUAUAUUUCAAAGGGCCAGCAUUGUCACAUUCUAUAUCACGCUGGGUCUUCUUGAGAACUACAUUGACGAAACAUAUGCUUGUGGAGUACUCGCCCACUUACACAUUGAUUUCACAAAAAGGCUGUUCCGUUGGUCGGAUCAACUGGAACCCUUGUCGUUGUAUCAGACAGAGCAACAGUGUCUUUUACAUUAUAUCAUAUUAUAUUAUAUUAUAUUAUAUUAUAUUAUAUUAUAUUAUAUUAUAUUAUAUAUAUAUAUAUAUAUAUAUAUAUAGAUAUAGUAUUAACCGGUGUUGUUCAAACGAUGAAUAGCUUUGCGUAAACUAUUGGUUCGUUUUGUUCUCUUACUUUAUUAUCAUCUUAUAAUCAUCUCAUAAUAAUGACUUUUAUGACUCGUAUUACUACCUCAGUCAAUCUAAAUGUAUAUAUUUGUCGUUACCUGUCAUAAAUAGCCUUUUUCUAUUUGCAAUAUGCAUUUUCGUUGAUUUUUCAUAUUUUACCCUUACAUUUCCACGUGUAUUUUAUAUUUUCUUUUCGUAACAUAUUUCUACUAUAUAUAUAUAUAUAUAUAUAUAUAUAUAUAUAUAUAUAUUAAUCUCACUUUAGAAAUACGCGUUACGCCCAAUUUAUACAUUAAGGUCUCUUGCAAUCAGACAGAAGCAAAAGUUGAGAGAAACAAAUAAAUUGCGAAAACUUUGUUCUGUGUAGGGAUUUUAAUCCUUAAUUUGUUUUAAAAUAAGCCUAAAAAAAUACUUGAGUACUGUUGUCUAAAUCCACACCAUUCUAAUGGCACAUCCUCUCUCACAUUAUCCCUCUUUCUCUCUCUCUCUCUCUCUCUCUCUCUCUCUCUCUCUCUCGCUCGCUCUAUACACAUACAUACAUACGUGUGUGUGUGCGCACACGUGUAGUACCCUUUGAUGUAAUGCACUUCACGUAUUAAAAGCAUUCAAAAUACCAGCCUAUAUAUAUAUAUAUAUAUAUAUUAUGUAUCUCUGUAUGUAUGUGUGUAUACACACACACACACACACACACACACACACAUAUAAAUAUAUAUAUAUAUAUAUAUAUAUAUAUAUAUAUAUAUAUAUAGCCAGGAUGAGAAAACAUAUGUUUUCCAUAACUGGAAUGAGGUUGAUGAGGCCCAGUUUUGGUUGAGAUCACCAUGUAUCGGUUGUUUAAAUAGAAUCCAGUCAUAGAGCCGUUAUGAAGCAAUGCAAGAAAACCCAGUUAAAUUUUAUAUCUGCAGUCCCUUCGGAGGUCAAUCUGAACAAUGGAGCCCUUAACUUAAUGAGAGAUAGGGAUAGAGUACUAUCGAAUAGGCUUAAUUUUUCAGGUUAAUUUUGUCGCUGACAAAUCAUAGUCCUGGUUUGAAAAAUCAAGUGGAAACACGCAACGGGGCCAACAGAGAACAGGAGAAUCUUCAGAGGAAGAAUUCCUGUCAAACCAAUGUUCUGGCCCGUUAAUUUCUGAUAUUGUAAGGGAGCCGGACCCACCUAGGUGAAGCUAUUUAGAUGUCAUCUUACAGGUUUAAAAUGCAGCCUUCGGUUAGAAUUGGAAUCGAAACUUUUGCGUAAUAUAUACUCAGUUACCAAAAUUAUAUAUAUAAACUUAAAACUUAGAUAAACUUAAAUAUGUUUCGACCAAAACGACUGGUUCUGGCCAUAUCAAACUUAAUAGCACCACCUAUCAUGGCCCAUUUAAGAAGGUAUCAUGGCCCAUUCAAGAAGGGUGGCUUUUCUGUAGCCCUUCAACAAGUUUGCCCAGGUAUGUGUGUGUGUAUAUAUAUAUAUAUAUAUAUAUAUAUAUAUAUAUAUAUAUAUAUAUAUAUAUAUAUAUAGAUAGAUAGAUAGAUAGAUAGAUAGAUAGAUAGAUAGAUAGAUAGAUAUAUGUAUCUAUCUAUGUGUGUAUGUAUACGUGUGUGUGUGUGUGUGUGUAGUGUAUAUCUAAUUUUGCAGAAACAUAUUUAUGCACAUACACACACUGUAUGUAUGUAUGCACAUUUGUUCGGAUUCGCGGAUGGUCUGUCUUCUAUAUUCCGUGAUAUGCCUUAGUACCUUUCAGGGACAUCUAGUGUCAUCUGUUAGGUGGUGAUCCAGAAGAGUAUCAAAGCGAUUAUUGCAGUGAGUCAAUAAACCAAUGCCAUUUUUCUCCUUCAACAGGGUUCAGGAAAGCGAUCUCAUUUUUUCUCAAUUACAUUUAUUUAUCCGUGUGUAUCUGUGUGUGUGAGUGCGUGUGUGUGUAUGUGUGUGUGUCUGUGUGUGUAUGUAUAUACAUAUAUGUGCAUGUAUAUAUAUAUAUAUAUAUAGCAAAUGUAUGUGAAUGUAUAUAUAUAUGUACGUAUAUAUAUAUAUAUAUAUAUAUAUACAUAUAUAUAUAUAUAUAUAUAUAAAUAUAUAUAUAUAUAUGUAUGUUUGUAUAAGUAUAUAUAUGUAUAUGUAUGUAUAUGUAUAUAUAUAUGUAUGUAUAUGUAUAUAUAUAUGUAUGUAUAUGUAUAUAUAUAUAUGGAUGUAUAUGUAUAUAUAUAUAUGUAUGUAUAUGUAUAUAUAUAUGUAUAUGUAUAUAUAUAUAUAUAUAUAUGCAUAUAUAUAUGUAUAUAUAUAUUAAUGUAUACAUAUACAUACAUGUAUAUGUAUAUAUAUAUGUAUAUGUACCUAUAUAUAUGUGUGUGUAUAUAUAUAUGUAUAUGUAUAUAUGUAUAUGUAUAUAUGUAUAUGUAUAUAUGUAUAUAUAUGUAUAUAUAUAUAUAUGUAUUUAUAUGUAUAUAUAUAUAUAUAUAUAUAUAUAUAUAUACAUAUAUAUACAUAUAUAUAUAUGUACAUAUAUGUAUAUAUAUAUAUGUAUGUAUAUAUAUAUAUAUAUAUAUAUAUACUCUAUAUGUAUACGAUAUAUAUACAUAAAUAUAUAUAUAUAUAUAUAAUGUACAUACAUACAUGCACAAUCUAUAUAUGUGUAUGUAUGAAGGAUAUAAACAUAUAUGCACAUAUAAUUUGCAUACGUAUAUAUAUUUAUCGAUAUAUAGUUUUAUAUCUAUACCAUAUAUGUGUAUAUAAUUUAUAUGUACAUGUAUAUACAUGAAUUAUUUAUAUUAUUCAUAUAUAUAUAUAUGUAUAUAUAUAUAUUCACACACAUAUAUAUAUGUAUAUAUAUUAAUAUAUUCAUAUAUAUAUUUUUUUUUUCACACACACACGCACAUAUAUAUAUAUGAUGUGUGUAUAUAUAUAUAUAUAUAUAUAUAUAUGAUGUAUACGUGUGCGUGCGUUCGAGUGUAUAUGAAAGCAAUGCAUGUAUCUUUGUACGUAUAUGCAUGUAUGCGUGUGUGUAUGCAUUGUACGUUUGUUAGAAACGUAUAUAUAUAUAUAUAUAUAAGCAGCAAGCUUACAACAGGAUACGAACCGCUAACCUUUCCCCUGGCAAGACAAACCUGCUUAUCAGCAUAAGUGAUCUUCGCCUGUCUCUCAACAUUGAUGUUUAACCAAGUAAGAAAACCGUGAGCAUCACAGCAAGACCACAUAACUUUACCGCUACUAAUUCGCUGCUUCGGAACUAUGUAAAGAAUUUCGACAUCUUGGCAUUGUUGUUGUUAUUGCUGUUGUUCUUGUUCUUAUUAUCGCUGCUGUUGUUUCGUUGAUGUUGUUUUCGUUGUUGCUGUUGUUGUUGUUGUUGUUGUUGUUCUUCUUCUUCUUCUUCUUCUUCUUCUUCUUCUUCUUCUCCUUCUUCUUCUUUGUUGUCGUCGUCUUCUUCUCCUUCUUCUUCUUUGUCGUCGUCGUCUUCUUCUCCUUCUUCUUCUUCUUCUUCUUCUUUGUCGUCGUCGUCGUCUUGUUCUUCUGCUUCUGCUUGUUGUUGUUGUUGUUGUUGUUGUUGUUGUUGUUCUUCUUCUUCUUCUUCUUCUUCUUCUUCUUCUCAUCCUCAUCCUCCUUUUGUCUUCUUUCCUCUUAUUCUUUACUCCUAUUCCUCCUCCUCCCUCUUCUUCUUCUUCUUCUUCUUCAUCUUCUUCUUCUUCUUCUUCUUCUUCUUCUUCUUCUUCUUCUUCCACUUAAAUGUUUUCAUAUCUACUUUCCGAUUCCUUUCAUUCUUUCUUUCUUUCACUUUCUCUUUCUCCGUUCUUUUUCUUUUUCUCUCUCUCUCUCUCUUCCUUCCUUUCUUUCUUUCUUUCUUUCCUUCUUUCCGCUUCUUCUAUCCUUCUGUCCAUUCAUUCUCCAUUAUUUUCCUUACUUCUUUCUUUCCUUCCUUCCUUCCAUUCGUUAUCUUCUUCACCUUUCUUUGUUUACUCGCUUUUUUUAAAAUUUUUUUUAUUUUUAUUCUUAUUUUUUUCUUUCAUGGUUAUUUUCAUAAAAAGUUUCACUUUCACCUCACUCAAUGCUCUUGUUGUUGUUGUUGUUGUUGUGUUAUUUAGCCCCGGGUCAGGCCUGAUCGAACAGUACCAAUAAUCAAACACGUCCUAACUGUGAUCAUCCCGUAUUGUUUACAUUUUAACUUAAGCAGAAUACAUAAUUCAGUGUCCUGUAUAUAUAUAUAUAUAUAUAUAUAUAUAAGACGAUAGAUUGUUAUUUCAAGGCUAUUUGGCUGUUAUUUCUAACAUUUCGUGUUACCACGUACAGACUCCCUCCUUGACCUGGGUCUGUUGUCGUUGUCGCUUACUCCCAGAUCAACUUCGAUCGAAAACACCGAUAAUUAAAGGUAAUCCGACCAAGACCAUUCCGGAUUAAAAAAAAAAUUCGAAUGCUGUUGUUAUAGUUAUUUUUCUUCAUUUUCUAUUUUCUUUCUUUCUUUCUUUCUUUCUUUUUUCUGGCUCUUUACGUUUGAAAUUCAAUUCCUGCUAUUUCUAACAUGAUGAAUGACCCCAUAGAAUGAUCCAUUGUUGUCUCCUAUCGAGUGUUGUAUCUUUAAAAUCUUACUUGUUUCAGUCAUUGGACAGGGGCCAUGCUGGAGCACCGCUUUGAAAAAAGGAUAUUAAUGAAAUAAAUUCGGCCCUAUGACUUGUUAUUCUAUCAGUCUCUUUUACCGAAAUGCCUAGUCAUACAUGGGACGUAAACAAACUAACACCAGUUGACAAAUGGUGGUGGCGGGGUUCAAACACAGACACAAACACACAUGCACAUAUGUGUGUGUGUGUGUGUGUGUGUGUGUGUGUGUGUGUGUGUGCAUGUAUGUAUGUAUGUAUAUAUAUAGGCGCAGGAGUGGCUGUGUGGUACGUAGCUUGCUAACCAGCCACAUGGUUCCGGGUUCAGUCCCACUGCGUGGCAUCUUGGGCAAGUGUCUUCUGCUAUAGCCUCGGGCCGACCAAAGCCUUGUGAGUGGAUUUGGUUGACGGAAACUGAAAGAAGCCUGUCGUAUUUAUGUGUGUAUAUAUAUAUAUAUAUAUAUAUAUAUAUAUAUAUAUGUGUGGUGUGUGUGUGUGUGUGUGUGUGUGUGUGUGUGUGUGUGUGUGUGUGUGUGUGUAUAUGUUUGUGUGUUUGUGUUUGUCCCUCUAGCAUUGCUUGACAACCGAUGCUGGUGUGUUUACGUCCCCCGUAACUUAGCGGUUCGGGAAAAGAGACCGGUAGAAUAAGUACUGGGCUUACAAAAGAAUAAGUCCCGGGGUCGAUUUGCUCUCGACUAAAGGCGGUGCUCCGGCAUGGCCGCAGUCAAAUGACUGAAACAUGUAAAAGAGUAAAGAGAAAGAGUAAUAUGUAUGUACGUACGUACGUAUGUAUGUAUGUAUGUAUGUAUGUAUGUAUGUAUGUAUGUAUGUAUGUAUGUAUGAAUGUAUGUAUGUAUGUAUGUAUGUAUGUAUGUAUGUAUGUAUGGUGCCAUAGAAGAAGACACUUGGCCGAGGUGCCGUACAGUGCGACUAAACCCAAGACCACUCGGUUGGGGAGCAAGUGUAUUUAUUUAUUUAUUUAUUUAUUUCUGGUAUUGGAAUUAUUUUUCUUCGAGAAUGGAAUAUCAACGGGUGGCAUUUUCAUUCGCAUAACUUUCCGUAGAGUGGUAUUUUCCUCUGUUAAAGGAACGAAUAUAAAUAUUUGAAUAAUGGUUAAAUAAGCUGAGAAGCGGAACUUGAAGUCCCAAUCAACUGGACCUUCACACUACAUUCCAUUUUAUCUAUCCGUCUGUCUACCUACCUACCUACCUACCAACCUAUCUAUCUAUCUUUUCCUCUUCUCCUUUUUCCCCCCUUUUUCUUCUUUUUCUAUUUUUAUUUUUUAAAUUUAUUUUUUUUGUUCUUUUCUUCCCUUUUACGAUCCCUCUUGAUCGAAAACCUACGCCACCCCUUAAUUUUUUGUUUCUUUUGUUUUUUGUUUUUUUCAUCCCCCAAAAGAAAAGCUCUACCUUGUAACUUGUCCCAUCUGUGUGCAGCCCUGUGUGGCCAAUAAAGAAACUUAUCUAUCUAUCUAUCUAUCUAUCUAUCUAUCUAUCUAUCUAUCUAUCUAUCUGUCUAUUUAUCUAUCUAUCUAUCUAUCUAUCUAUCUAUCUAUCUAUCUAUCUAUCUAUCUAUCUAUCUAUCUAUCUAUCUAUCUAUCUAUCUAUCUAUCUAUCUAUCUAUCUAUCUAUCUAUCUAUCUGUCUAUCUGUAUGUCUAUCUAUCUGUCUAUCUAUCUAUCUAUCUAUCUAUCUAUCUAUCUAUCUAUCUAUCUAUCUAUCUAUCUAUCUAUCUUCCUCUCUCUCUCUCUCUCCUUCUAUCGUUCUAUUUAUCGCUCUAUCUACUUAUCAGUCAUUCUACCUGUCCAUCUAUAUACUUUCCCAUUUAUCUAUCAGCAUAUCUUUUUACCUAUUUGUCGAUCUGUCUACCUGCAUUUCUACGUACGUAUGUAUCUGUUUCUCUUCCUCUAUCCAUUUAUCUUUCUUCCUGUCUUUCUAAUCAUCUAUUCUCCUAUCUAAUUAUUUAUCUAUCUUUCUAUCUAUCUACCUAUGUAUAUACUAUUUUUUAAAUUCUUUUACUUGUUUCAGUCAUUUCACUGUGGCCAUAUAUAUAUAUAUAUAUAUAUAUAUAUAUAUAUAUAUAUAUAUACAUACAUACAUACAUACAUACAUACAUACAUACAUACAUACAUACAUACACAUACACACACACACACAAACACACACAUAUAUAUAAUCAGCCGAAAUUGCGAAGAUAAUCUGGUACUUGACUGAGGAAAGAAAACUUCGAAUGACCCGUCCUUGUUUUCUUUGUAUCGUCUAUCUGGAUGUUUUGUUGUCCCAUUUUUGUAUCACCUAACUGUCUGGAUGUUUUGCGUUCUUGUCCCAUUCUGUAUUUUUUCAACAUAUAUAUAUAUAUAUAUAUAUAUAUAUAUAUAUAUUAUAUAUAUAUAUAUAUAUAUAUAUAUAUUCUUGAGCACCACCAGCUCAAAUAUUUUUUCCUCUGUCUUCCCUUCUUGGGAUCUUUCCUCCUCCUUGUUUCCGACGAAGAGCUCCGCUCGAAACGUUAAACCCUCCUUCCCUUCUUUCCUGAGCGUCAAUAAUACUUUAAUUGUUCCUCGUCCUGCGUUGCUGUGUUUUUUUUCUGUGUUUUCUUGUUUGGAUUAACUUUAUAUAUAUAUAUAUAUAUAUAUAUAUAUAUAUAUAUAUAUGUUGAAAAAAUUUCACCCAUAUAUUAUGUAUAUACCUUUUUACCUAACUGAUCUUUCUUUCUUUCUUUCUUUCUUUCUUGUACAUUCUACAAUCUGCCUUUCUAUCUUCAGUUCGCUUCACCCAGCGCCUUCUUUCCACCUCUUUUUCCUUUCUUUUCCUGCCUAUCUUUCAAUAAGACGUCUUCAUCUUCUCAAAUUACCUCAGCACUUCCCCCCACCACCACCACCACGCACCCUGAAGACACGUCCGUAACCGAAUGAUUUGACGGGUGGAAGGAAAGAGGGUGGAGGGGAAAGAAGGUAGGAAAAAACGGUGGGGAAGGGGUGCGUUGGAAAGAGAGAGAGAGAGAGAGAAGGGGCUUCUUAGCGGCGCUUGCCCGAGCGCGUGCAACACGCAUGUUUACGGGCUUCGACGCCGCGCACACGCGACAGCUAAGCCUCUAACUAUCUUCCAUGCCGCCGCCACCGCCGCCAUUAUCGCCCUCACCAGCAUCAUCUCUUCUAUUGCACGACCUACACACACACACACACACACACACACAUGUGCGCACGCACACAAAUAUACGCACACACACACACACACACACACACACACACACACAUAGCCACCACUAAUACGAUCUUUCAUUCCACUUCCCCAGACAAACGCAUAUCUAUACACACACACACACACACACACAUACAUACAUACAUACAUACAUACAUAUGUGUGUGUGUGCGUGCUAUAUACGUAUAUAUGUAUGCUCACAAACAAAGGCGCAAACACACACACACACGCUUAUAUAUAUAUAUAUAUAUAUAUAUAUAUAUAUAUAUAUAUAUAUAUGUAUGUAUAUAUAUAUAUAUAUAUAUAUAUAUAUAUACUACAGUAUCGCCCGGCGUUGCUCAGGUUUGUAAGGGAAAUAACUAUAAAGCAUUUUUAGAGAGUUAUAGCCAAAAAAUAGCAAAAAGAUGGGAAAAAAAUGAUGGUAAAUUUUUUUGAGAGUUAAAAAGGUGGAGUUGCGUCCCCUAGACGGUCUGUGGUUUGGCCUUCUGAUUCUCGACCCCAUGUCGAAUUUAUCGUUUUUUCAGAACUGGGGGAACUUUUCAAAAUUUUCGCUGCGUUAGUUUUGAAUUAUAUGUGUGUGUAUAUCAGAAUCGGUUGAAAGCCGUGGUCAGGGUGAACGAGAAAACAGACACACAGAAAACGCACAGACAAACUGCCGUUUAUAUAGAGAGAGAUAUAAAACCAUUUCCAAGUAAGUUUAUACACACACACACACACACAGAGAAACGCAUACACGCUCUUACUAAUCACACACACACAAACGUGAACACACACACACGCAAAGAAAGAAAGAAAGAAAGAAAGAAAGAAAGAAAGAAAGAAAGAAAGAAAGAAAGAAAGAAAGAAGGAAAGUAAGAAAGGAAGGAAGAAUGGAAGAAAGAAAUGCUACGCGCACUCUGCUAGUCAAGCACACGAACACACGCACACACACACGCGCGAGUCGUAAUUUAAGCGAACGGGUUUUCCAUCAAAAUAAACGAUCUCAUCAAGUGUGAAAAGACCAGCCAGUCUGAAAUUCCUGAGGCAGGCGCCGAAGUUGCCUAAUCUGUUGUUGGCUUACCUCGCCGAUUAGGAAAGCCAGCGUCCUAGUUUCGAUUCCAGCUUCAAACGCAUACAUACAUACAUACAUACAUACAUACAUACAUACAUACAUACAUACAUACAUACAUACAUACAUACAUGCAUACAUACAUACAUAAAUACAUACAUACAUACAUACAUACCUAUCUACAUACAUACAUACAUACAUAUAUACAUACCUACCUAUCUACAUACAUAUAUACGUACCUACCUACCUACCUACAUACAUACAUACAUACAUACUUACAUAUAUACAUACAUACAUACAUACAUACAUACAUACAUACAUACAUACAUACAUACAUACAUAUAUACAUACCUACCUACCUACAUACAUAUAUACAUACCUACCUACCUACCUAUCUACCUACCUACCUACCUACAUACAUACAUACAUACAUACAUACAUACAUACAUACAUACAUACAUACAUACAUACAUACAUACAUACAUGCUUACAUAUAUACAUACCUACCUAUAUACAUAUAUACCUACCUACCUACAUACAUACAUACAUACAUACAUACAUACAUACAUACAUACAUACAUACAUACAUAUAUACAUGCCUACCUACCGACAUACAUACACACAUGUGUGUGUGUGUGUGUGAGUGUGUCUGUGAGUGUGUGUGUGUGUGUGUGUGUGUGUGUGUGUGUGUGUGUAAUUUCGAAGUAUCACUUCACAGCUAUUACAUUUAAAACAAUGCUGUGUGUAUACACGCAUACAUACAUAGCUAUAUCUAUAUAUAUAUAUAUGUAUGUGCAUAUAUGCAUUAUGUAUACCUUGCAUUACAUACGUUCUGAGUUCAAAUUCCACCGAGGUCGACUUUGCCUUUCAUCCUUUCGGGGUCGAUAAAUUAAGUACCAAUUACGCACUGGGGUCGAUAUAAUCGACUUAAUACCUAUGUCUGUCCUUGUUUGACCCCUCUAUGUUUAGCCCCUUGUGAGCAAUAAAGAAAUAACAUACGUAUAUGUUUUUAUAGCCAUAUCAUAUAUUAUGAGGUGAUGCGGAAAAGUACCUAGAUUUGAGUAAAAGAAAAUAGAAAAGGAUCAGUUAAUUAUCAUUUUAUUUAACAUAUUCCUUUCCCUGAUUCACACACUUAUUACAGUGGCCCUUCAUUUUUUUUUUUUUCUAAGCCCCGUAAAAGAACUCGAAAUUUAGGCUGCUAAAGCAGACCUUUCGCGAUACCUUUGAAGUCAGGAACUUUUCAACACGCUCUCGCGUGUGUGUAUGUGUGUGUGUGUGUGUGUGUGUGUGUAUUUGAUAUCAUAUGUUAUGUAUUUUUAUGUAAAUACUUAUAGUAUUCCAUAAAGUAACAUUUAACGUUAAGUAGUGAUUAAUAAUAAUAAUAAUAAUAAUAAUAGUAAUAAUGAUAAUAGUAAUAAUAAUAAUAAUAAUAAUAAUAAUAAUAAUAAUAUGUUUCUUUAUUAGCCACACAGAGCUGCUCACAGACAGAACAAAUUACAAGGUAGAGCUUUUCUUUUGGGGGAAAAAAUAAAAGGGUGUUGGUUUUCGAUCAAAAGGGAUCGUAAAAGGAAAGAAAGAGGACAAAAAAUGGGGAG